rnacentral:lncRNA from 1 species
ACAUUGUGCACAUGUACCCUAAAACUUAAAGUAUAAUAAUAAUUAAAAAAAAAAAAAGAUAACAGGAACCCAGAUUUACGGGGAAAAAACCACACACCAAAUUUCACAAAACUUAGAAAAUGCUACAUAAGGUUCCUCAGGAAGACAACUCUUAGAAUAAGUCAUAAUCCUACUUUUUGCCCAGAGUUUUUUACUAAUUCUACCUGGUAUAAACAGAGUAAGUAGUCAAUAGUCUAUAUAUAAUCUUUUUUUUUUUUUUUUGCUAUUAUCUGGAUAAAAGUUACAAUAUAUGUGUUGGACAUUACAGAGGAUAUAUCUUGCUAUCUGGCAUCCAAUUCAACCUCCUGAUUAUGUAAAAAAAAAAAAAAAAAAAAAAAAAAGCAACCCCAAAUUCUUCAGGUGAACCACCUCAUCUCAAACUCUCAUAGGUUUUUGGGUAAUGUUGACCCCACCCUCAGGUUUAGGGGUGGGCUCUACUGUCCAGUCAUCAGCAUAUCCCAUUGUUCUGGUCAUUGAGAUUAGCUCUAGAAUAAGCACAGGACCCAACCCAGGCUAGUUUGAAUCAGGCCAGGAGUGUCUUAUUGGUGGGAGGAAAUUUCUCUAUAUCUGCUACUCUUAAUGUUGAGACUUAAGGCCUGGAGGUGCUGCAGCCAUCUUAUAACCAUUAAGGGGCAGCCUGUUCUAAGAAGCCAAAAUAAUAGAAAAGAACAGAGACUGGCGAGAAGAAGAGAAGCAGGGACAUGAAGUGACAGUUUGAAACGUUGCAUCCUGACACAUCUGAAGACAUCCCUCAUGUGCAGACUUUUCAGUAAUGUAAAGUGGAAAGUGGGCAAGGCCAAGGUCAUGCUACAGAAUGUGACUGAGCAACAGGGGGAUCACUUCAGCUGGGAUGGGAAAGGAAAGCCUCCAGGAGGAGUUGACAUCGAAUCACAGUUGAAUCCUAAGAAGUCAGUCUUGCAAAGAUCUAGGAAAGAAACAGCUAAGUUUCUAAGGCUGGAGUGCAAUGGCGCGAUCUCGGCUCUCUGCAA